rnacentral:rRNA from 1 species
CAGUUUAACGGCCGCGGUACCCUAACCGUGCGAAGGUAGCAUAAUCACUUGUUUCUUAAAUAGAGACUAGUAUCAACGGCAUCACGAAGACUAUACUGUCUCCCCCCUAAAAUCAAUGAAACUGAUCUCCUCGUGAAGAAGCGAGGAUAUACAUAUAAGACGAGAAGACCCCAUGGAGCUUUAAACGAACUUCAAUUGUUCCCACCCAUAGCAUACAAAUUGAACACCCCUGAUAGAUAGUUUUAGGUUGGGGUGACCGCGGAGUAAAACAAAACCUCCACAGUGAAUGUAAUAAAAUUCUUAUAAAAGAACUACAAUUCUAAUAAUCAAAAAUUUGACAUAAAUUGACCCAAGCACUUGAUCAAUGAACCAAGUUACCCUGGGGAUAACAGCGCAAUCCAUUUUAAGAGCCCAUAUCGACAAAUGGGUUUACGACCUCGAUGUUG